rnacentral:misc_RNA from 2 species
AACUUCCACCUGGCUUACCUCCNUCAGUUAUGCGUCAUGACUUGUAUCGUCUUGAGCGUAUUGUGGGUUUCCUGUGUUGCAUACCUAAUAAUGGAAUCGUUUUGGUUGAUUGAAGUCCCUUUUCAUCACGUGUUGCCUUUGCGACGCAUGAUGAACCUCGAAGCGGUCUCUAUGUUCCACCACGUUGAUGCUAGUGUCUUGAUGUUGUGGCCCAUUGAGUGUUGCUUGGUUUCGUGGAUACAGAACAUGAUUUGGGCAUAGGGUCACCUGUGACUCUUGUUUUGUCCUUUAUCAGUGUUCUCUAUAACGACGGUUCAUGCGCGCCUAGGCUCGUACCUGCGCGAUGUUCUUUGUCGAAGAGGAAUGCUACCUGGUUGAUCCUGCCAGUAGUCAUAUGCUUGUCUCAAAGAUUAAGCCAUGCAU